rnacentral:rRNA from 1 species
UUUGCAUUUUUCAAUAAGCGGAGGAAAAGAAACUAACAAGGAUUCCCCUAGUAACGGCGAGUGAAGAGGGAAGAGCUCAAAUUUGAAAGCUGGUACCUUCGGUAUCCGCGUUGUAACCUCGAGACACGUUUUCCGUGCGGCGCUAUGGACAAGUUCCUUGGAACAGGACAUCGUAGAGGGUGAAAAUCCCGUACUUGCCAUGGAUGUACCGUGCUUUGCGAUACGUGCUCUAAGAGUCGAGUUGUUUGGGAUUGCAGCUCAAAAUGGGUGGUAGACUCCAUCUAAAGCUAAAUAUCGGGGAGAGACCGAUAGCGAACAAGUACCGUGAGGGAAAGAUGAAAAGCACUUUGGAAAGAGAGUUAAAAGUACGUGAAAUUGUCGAAAGGGAAGCGCUUGAAGUCAGCCAUGCCGCUCAGGACUCAGCCUGGCUUUUGCUUGGUGUAUUUCCUGGGUAGCAAGUCAGCAUUGGUUUGGAUCGUCGGAGAAGCAUAGUCGGAAUGUGGCGCCCUCGGGCGUGUUAUAGCCUUCUAUUGGAUACGACGAUCUAGACCAAGGAACGCAGCGCGCCUUAUGGCGGGUSUUCGGACACCUUCGCGCUUAGGAUGCUGGCGUAAUGGCUUUAAGUGGCCCGUCUUGAAACACGGACCACUUU